CCUACGGGCGGCAGCAGUGGGGAAUAUUGCACAAUGGGGGAAACCCUGAUGCAGCGACGCCGCGUGAGUGAAGAAGGAAUUCGGUAUGUAAAGCUCUAGCAGCAGGGAAGAAAAUGACGGUACCUGAGUAAGAAGCCCCGGCUAACUACGUGCCAGCAGCCGCGGUAAUACGUAGGGGGCAAGCGUUAUCCGGAUUUACUGGGUGUAAAGGGAGCGUAGACGGCAGUGCAAGUCUGGAGUGAAAGGCGGGGGCUCAACCCCCGGACUGCUCUGGAAACUGUCCGGCUGGAGUGCAGGCGAGGUAAGUGGACUUCCUAUUGUAGCGGUGCACUGCGUAGAUAUUAGGAG
rnacentral:rRNA from 1 species